GACGAACGCUGGCGGCGCGCCUAACACAUGCAAGUCGAACGAGAGAGAAGGAGCUUGCUUCUUUGAUCGAGUGGCGAACGGGUGAGUAACGCGUGAGGAACCUGCCUCAAAGAGGGGGACAACAGUUGGAAACGACUGCUAAUACCGCAUAAGCCCACAGGUCGGCAUCGACCAGAGGGAAAAGGAGCAAUCCGCUUUGAGAUGGCCUCGCGUCCGAUUAGCUAGUUGGUGAGGUAAUGGCCCACCAAGGCGACGAUCGGUAGCCGGACUGAGAGGUUGAACGGCCACAUUGGGACUGAGACACGGCCCAGACUCCUACGGGAGGCAGCAGUGGGGAAUAUUGCACAAUGGGGGAAACCCUGAUGCAGCGACGCCGCGUGGAGGAAGAAGGUCUUC
rnacentral:rRNA from 1 species